AUUGAACGCUGGCGGCAGGCCUAACACAUGCAAGUCGAACGAGUGGCGGACGGGUGAGUAAUGUCUUGGAAACUGCCUGAUGGAGGGGGCUAACUACUGGAAACGGUAGCUAAUACCGCAUACCAUCGGAUGUGCCCAGAUGGGAUUGGCUAGUAGGUGGGGUAAAGGCUCACCUAGGCGACGAUCCCGAGCUGGUCUGAGAGGAUGACCAGCAAAACGGGAAAGGAGACACGGUCCAAACUCCUUAGGGAGGCAGCAGUGGGGAAGAUUGCACAAGGGGCGGAAGCAUGAUGCAGCCAUGCCGCGUGUAGGAAGAAGGCCUUCGGGUUGUAAAGGACUUUCAGCGGGGAGGCGUUACCCGCAGAAGAAGCACCGGCUAACUCCGUGCCAGCAGCCGCGGUAAUAC
rnacentral:rRNA from 1 species